rnacentral:rRNA from 1 species
GAAAGCCUGAUGGAGCAACGCCGCGUGAGUGAAGAAGGUUUUCGGAUCGUAAAACUCUGUUGUAAGGGAAGAACAAGUACAGUAGUAACUGGCUGUACCUUGACGGUACCUUAUUAGAAAGUCACGGCUAACUACGUGCCAGCAGCCGCGGUAAUACGUAGGUGGCAAGCGUUGUCCGGAAUUAUUGGGCGUAAAGCGCGCGCAGGCGGUCCUUUAAGUCUGAUGUGAAAGCCCACGGCUCAACCGUGGAGGGUCAUUGGAAACUGGGGGACUUGAGUGCAGAAGAGGAAAGUGGAAUUCCAAGUGUAGCGGUGAAAUGCGUAGAGAUUUGGAGGAACACCAGUGGCGAAGGCGACUUUCUGGUCUGUAACUGACGCUGAGGCGCGAAAGCGUGGGGAGCAAACAGGAUUAGAUACCCUGGUAGUCCACGCCGUAAACGAUGAGUGCUAAGUGUUAGGGGGUUUCCGCCCCUUAGUGCUGCAGCUAACGCAUUAAGCACUCCGCCUGGGGA